rnacentral:rRNA from 1 species
AUACAGAGGGUGCGAGCGUUAAUCGGAAUUACUGGGCGUAAAGCGCGCGUAGGCGGCUACUUAAGUCAGAUGUGAAAUCCCCGGGCUCAACCUGGGAACUGCAUCUGAUACUGGGUAGCUAGAGUUUUGGAGAGGGAAGUAGAAUUUCAGGUGUAGCGGUGAAAUGCAUAGAGAUCAGAAUGAAUACCAGUGGCGAAGGCGACUUCCUGGCCAAAAACUGACGCUGAGGUGCGAAAGCGUGGGUAGCAAACGGGAUUAGAUACCCGAGUAGUCC